ensembl:lncRNA
UGGCUGUGUGGGCGCACGGAUGACAGAGUAGGAAGUCAUCUCUUAAAUCCUACUCCCUCUGUGCCACGGCUUUAUUUUGCCAAAGCCCUAGCUGUGACUGGGAGCCUACAGAUCCACCACCACCUCAGCAGAGAUCCGCUCUAUCUCCCACGCUUCGUUACUGCUGUUUUUCCUGAGUUUGAGGUAAUGGCUCCUGCUCUUAAAAUCUGUCUUGGAUAUCAUCAUCAUUGUAAUCUUUACUUAUAAAGCACUUUAAAACAACCACAGCUGAUGCAAAGUUUUGUACAUUGGAACUAAUAAAAUAAAUAAAUAAAAGCCAAAUAAAAGAGAAAAAGUAAUGUGGUGUUAAGCUUGAUGUUGUGAUAAGCUUGUCUGCUGUCUGCGUUUGAUUUUGUUUUAUUCUUUUUUAUACAUGUCAUUUUAUCAUCAUGGUUAGCGCUUUAUAUUAUGGGUCAUGACUUAUUUCCCCUAGAAUAAAAUAAAAUUUCAAUGCAUCUUAUCUAAAACUAUAGCGCUAUACUGCUGCUAUACUGCUACACCAACUUUUAGUCAUUUCAGCCAGUUUGUGACUUUAGAUACUUUAUAGGAAAGAAGAAAUAAUUAUACACAUAGUAACUUUACGUAGUAUGCAAGUAAUUUUGAGUAGUGCAUGGCUUCUGGGUAAUUUAGUAGAAAAACAAACAAAAGUUCCCCGUCUUACUCUGUAAAUAUGUUACACUUUUAGUGGUAUGACUUAUAUUGUGUAGUAGCUUAACCUUACCCUUUUACAUUUUUAUUUUAUUGGUGUUUGACUUGGUUUGAUCAUUGUGUAAGAGCACAUGAAUCUAUGGCAUGCAAUGUGUGUUGGAUGUUUACUGCUUCUCAGAAGCAGCAAAGGGAGGGCAGUGUAAUAUAAAAGGACAACUGAAACAUUUAUGAUACACACUAAUAUAAUGCAUAAUAAACAUGUAAAAAGGCAAGGUUAAGCAAGUACACUUCUAACAGUACAGCAAAUUUAGAGUGUGAAAUGGAGGCAAGUUUGUUUGUUUUCUGCUAAAUUACCCAGAAGUUACACACGGCUUGAAAUUACUUAGAGUAUAAUCAUUUCUUCAUUCCAGUCAACUCAGACACCAUCAAGAGAAAAACCAGCAGAAGUCCAAACUAGUCAAUCAAAUUCAUUCACAUCACCAGUGAAACCAUAGUCCUUAGUGCCAUUUGGCAUACCUCUGACAUACACACAUAAAAAUCCAGUAUGAAUAGUACCCUGUGUUCAGUUAUCCUAUCUAAAACUACCAUUUAAUACUGUAAAACAGCCACUUUAAACCUGAGCACAAACCCAGUCUUGGGUUUCAUAUUCUAUAUCUGUACUUAUUGUUAGGAUACCUGGGUCGUUGACCCAGGGUUUGGAGUUUAUAUAUUAUUUAUCAUUUCUAUGCUUUGGUUUCUUUGUUAGAGUUAUGUCUUAUGGGUUGUCUCUGUGUAAUCCUUAGUUGCUGUCUCCCCUGUCCGCUAUAUCCCCGUGUCCAGUCAGUGUCUGUGUCUGCCCUGGUCCCACGUCUCUGUUCCCUCUGUUGUAGUGCCUGCAUGUGAGUGUGUGUCUUUGGUUCAGUCUGUGUUAUGUGUUUCCUGUUUUACUUUGAAAGUCCAUGUCUGAUGUUAAUGUAUCUGGUUUCGCGUCCCCUUGUCUCGUUAGGCCUGAUUUGCCCCAUCUGUGUUUCCCUCCUGUUACCCAUUCCCUGAUUGCUCCCUCUGUGUAUUUAAGCCCUGUGUUUCUCUGUGUCUGUGUUGCGAUCUACUGUUUACCUAGCUGUGUGUUCUGGCAGUCCUCUGGUUUAAGUUUAUUUUGAUUUUUUCCCCCAGUUAUGUUAUAUUUUGAGUUUUACAUUAAAGCUGUUUUGAGUUCACGACUGUCUCCGGAGUCUGCACCUUGGGUCCUAUUCCUGUCUGCACACAGC